UGUUAAGGAAAUUACUAUAAUUAAUUGGUCAAAUUAGCCCGAUCCGAUGGGUCUACUCGGUUUAGGACUAGACCGAGGCUAGCAAAAUAAAUAUUCGAAAAAAAUUGGGUCUGAAAAAUUCGCUCAAACAUCUUAUUGAGCUGACUGGCAUUUGAAACUAAGAGCAUUCACGGUCCUUGUGUCUUAAGUUAGUGUUUAAAUGAUGGUCUCCACCUAAGAACCAACCCCCUGUGUCUUAGGUUGGUGCUUAAAUCUUCAUUUCCACAAAAUCUCCAAUUUUACACUUCGAUUUUAAAAUUCCAAACUUUUAUUAAAAUUAAAAUUCAAACAUUGCAAUGAAAAUAAUAUAUAAGAUUUUAAAAUUCUAAAUAUUACAAUAAUUAAAAAUUAGAUUAAAAAAUUAAAAGAAUUAAAAAAUAAUAUUUUAAAAAUUAAAAAAAAAUCAAAUAAAAAAUCAAACAAAAAAACCCAAACCCUGGCGCACACAUCCAGAAGCUUUUUCCACUCCCCCUGCCCCCGCCACCCGCCUUCUUCUUCCCCAACUUAUCUUCUCGCCAUUUCUGCAAACUUCUCGAAUUUUCUUUUUAAAUUAAACUGUGCGCUACACGCGCACGGAUCUCUUCUGCCAUGGACCCGUUGCGCUGUAGAGACUCGGCGUCGACACAAGGCGUGUCUCCAGUGCAGGUGAGGCGACGACGACGCGGAUCAACCCGGGGCGAAGGAGGAUGCUCUAACGAGUUUGAGGUUUUCAGCUGAAGAAAAUCAGAGUUGCAGUGUCAAAAAUGGUGCUCAUACAAAAAUACUGCAGCAAAAUGAAAAGAUGAUCAUGAAAGCGAAGAUCAAGGAAUGGGCCAAAGCUGUUGCUUCAGUCGAGGGUUCCACUCAUAUUGGGGUUGGAAAUUUAUAGCCUAAAUUGUUGUUGUUGUUAUCGAACUCGUAUUUUAAUUUCGUACUUUGUAAACAUUAUGCAUUUAUACGAAUUGAAUGUCUCGAAUUUCCACACUUUUUCAA